UACAGAGGGUGCGAGCGUUAAUCGGAAUUACUGGGCGUAAAGCGUGCGUAGACGGUAGCGUAAGUCAGAUGUGAAAGCCCCGGGCUCAACCUGGGAACUGCAUUUGAGACUGCUCUGCUCGGGUGCGGAAGAGGGAAGCGGAAUUUCCGGUGUAGCGGUGAAAUGCGUAGAUAUCGGAAGGAACACCAGUGGCGAAAGCGGCUUCCUGGUCCGACACCGACGAUUCAGGCACGAAAGCGUGGGGAGCAAACAGG
rnacentral:rRNA from 1 species